rnacentral:tmRNA from 1 species
GGGGGUGAUUGGCCUCGACUUGAGUGAGCCGGGGCUAGGUGGCAUGCCGAGGAUGAUGGUUGGCCUCGUUAAAGUUCCAUCACAAAUCAAACGCUAACGAUAAUACGUUAAUGUUCAGCGACGCUGAACUGGCCUUCGCCACAAGCGAAGCUCCGGUUGGCGGAGCACCCGUCUUAGUCGGAUAAUACCCGGUUAAGCCCUGUGAUAAGGCGUGUCUGUCGCUUUAUCAUUGGAACCAAACAGGCUGGUUUUGCGGAUGCUCUCGUUCGUAAAACAAGAUCGUAGAGAGCUGGUCUGACGCGGGUUUGUCCGUUGAAACGCGCCAGGCGACAUUAAAAACGGCCUACGCAUGUAGAUGCUUAGUCUUUGACACUGAAGGACCCGGGUUCGAUUCCCGGCACCUCCACUU